rnacentral:rRNA from 1 species
UACGUAGGGUGCAAGCGUUAAUCGGAAUUACUGGGCGUAAAGCGUGCGCAGGCGGUUUUGUAAGUCUGACGUGAAAUCCCCGGGCUCAACCUGGGAAUUGCGUUGGAGACUGCAAGGCUGGAGUCUGGCAGAGGGGGGUAGAAUUCCACGUGUAGCAGUGAAAUGCGUAGAGAUGUGGAGGAACACCGAUGGCGAAGGCAGCCCCCUGGGUCAAGACUGACGCUAAUUCACGAAAGCGUGGGGAGCAAACAGG